GAUGAACGCUGGCGGCGUGCCUAAUACAUGCAAGUCGAGCGAACGGACGAGAAGCUUGCUUCUCUGAUGUUAGCGGCGGACGGGUGAGUAACACGUGGAUAACCUACCUAUAAGACUGGGAUAACUUCGGGAAACCGGAGCUAAUACCGGAUAAUAUUUUGAACCGCAUGGUUCAAAAGUGAAAGACGGUCUUGCUGUCACUUAUAGAUGGAUCCGCGCUGCAUUGGCUAGUUGGUAAGGUAACGGCUUACCAAGGCAACGAUGCAUAGCCGACCUGAGAGGGUGAUCGGCCACACUGGAACGGAGACACGGUCCGGACUCCUACGGGAGGCAGCAGUAGGGAAUCUUCCGCAAUGGGCGAAAGCCUGACGGAGCAACGCCGCGUGAGUGAUGAAGGUCUUCGGUUCGUAAAACUCUGUUAUUAGGGAAGAACAUAUGUGUAAGUAACUGUGCACAUCUGGACGGUACCUAAUCAGAAAGCCCCGGCUAACUACGU
rnacentral:rRNA from 1 species